GAUGAACGCUGGCGGCGUGCCUAAUACAUGCAAGUCGAGCGAACGGACGAGAAGCUUGCUUCUCUGAUGUUAGCGGCGGACGGGUGAGUAACACGUGGAUAACCUACCUAUAAGACUGGGAUAACUUCGGGAAACCGGAGCUAAUACCGGAUAAUAUUUUGAACCGCAUGGUUCAAAAGUGAAAGACGGUCUUGCUGUCACUUAUAGAUGGAUCCGCGCUGCAUUAGCUAGUUGGUAAGGUAACGGCUUACCAAGGCAACGAUGCAUAGCCGACCUGAGAGGGUGAUCGGCCACACUGGAACUGAGACACGGUCCAGACUCCUACGGGAGGCAGCAGUAGGGAAUCUUCCGCAAUGGGCGAAAGCCUGACGGAGCAACGCCGCGUGAGUGGUGAAGGUCUUCGGAUCGUAAAACUCUGUUAUUAGGGAAGAACAUAUGUGUAAGUGACUGUGCACAUCUUGACGGUACCUAAUCAGAAAGCCACGGCUAACUACGUG
rnacentral:rRNA from 1 species